AAUUUAAACCCAUACAUGUGAACACACACACACUUUUUCAAAGGACCCUAGCACACUUACCAGCAAUCAUGUCCAAGCAGCUUAUAACCACCUAUAACUCUAGGUCCAGGGGGUUUGGCACCCUCUUCUGGCCUCCAAGGUACCUUCACUCAGGUACAUACACAUCCAACAUAUAUACAUAUUUAAAAAUAAACCUUUUUGUAAAAGCCAGGUGUGGUUGCUUGCAUUCAGUCCCAAAACUGAGGAGGCAGAGAAAGGUGGAUCCCUGAGACUCACUGGUCAGCUAGCCUGACCUACUUGGCAAUCUCCAGGACAUGAGUGACUCUGUACCAGAGAAAAAGUGUGAGUGAUGCCUGAGGGGCCUAUGCACACAUACGAAGGAGUUCUUUCCACUUUAGAAAGUCUCAGAAUUGAUGACAGCACCACUUACACAGUAUUUGUGACUGAAAUGGUUUCCAUGGCAGUCUGAAGUUGUGUCAACAACCACAGUGAUUCUUUGUAUAAGUACAAGCAACUCUCAUUUAUCAUAAUCACCUGUACAUUCUUGACUUAUCUUCUUAAAAAUUUAUUUUUGCUGUAGUUCAUAGUAGAAUUAGCAUUAGUAGAUAUUACUAGCUCUUAAAAUUGUAUCCAGCUAAAUUAUCUUUGAAAUAGGAUUUACAGCAGAGAUUGGUUUCUGUUUUUAUAAUGAUGGAGUGGGCUUUGUUUGUUUUAGGCUCUGUCUCUCGUAGGCCAAGCUUGCCCUAAACCUACUAUGUAGCUAUAUCUAUCUAUAUCUAUAUCUAUAUCUAUAUCUAUAUCUAUAUCUAUAUCUAUAUCUAUAUCUAUAUCUAUAGCUUACAUUCUUCCUUUUGAGUGCUACAAGCAUGUGCUACCACCUUGGUAGGAAUGUUAUUUUAAAAGAAAAGAAAAAGAAGGAAAAAUAUGAAGAUCUGAAAAGAUAGCAAGAAAUUUGCUCUGCCAAAAUCUAGGAAAAAGCACCCCUUCCACCCCCCAAUAAGUAGCUGGAAUCGCUUUUGUCUUAAGGGCAGUGUGCUGGUUAGUUAUUGUCAGCUUAAGCUACUCAAGUGAGAAAAUGCUCUCAUCGGAUUGACUUAUAGGUAAGUCGGGGGGGGGGGCGCAUUUUCUUGAUUGAUGUUUGAUGUGGGAGGGUGCAGCCCACUGUAGGACAGAUGGUCCUGGGGUAUAUAACAAAAUAAAGUGAGCAAGCCAGGAGGAACAAGCAAGUAAGCAGCAUUGCUUCAUGGCCUCUUCUUUAGUUCCUGUCUCCAGGUUCCUGCCUAGAGUUCCUACUUUGUUUCCCCUGGUGAUGAGCUAUAAUGUGUGAACAAAAUUCUUUCCUCCCAAAUUGCUCUUGCAGUAGAAUAGGCAGUGUGCAUGUUUUAGCUUUGGUGUCAGUGGACUUCAUAAAUUGAAGAGUACAAAAGUCAACACCUAAAGCUUAUAUUAAGUGAGAGUCAAAGACAGUUUCUUUUAGGUAGGACCCUGAGGAUUCCUUCAUUAGGUUUGCCUUUGAAGUAGAACUAAAUUAUCUACUAAGUCCCACAUUUCAGAAAUGUGAGACUCUAGAGAAGCUUGAUUAGAACAGAGGAAUCAAAAGGAAAGUAAAAAAAAAAAAUUGUGACUAUUGGUUUUUCCUUCAUAUUGACUUUUAGAGCAGUUUUUGUUUGUUGUUUGGUGUGUGUGCGCGCGCGCGUGCGUCUUUGCAUGCAUGGUAUUUGGUCUGAGUGGUCCUGUAGCUCAGAAGCUCUUUAUCCUAGUUCCUAGUUGCAGAGAUAGUACUCGUCCAAGCUUUGGUGGAAGAAAAGGGAAGUCACCUGUGGAGAAAGGCCCGCCCUUACUAGGGAAUUGUUACUAAUAAUUUUUCUUUUUAAAUUUACUUAUUAUUUAUUUUUAAUCUUCUGUAUAUGUUUGUGGGUCUGAAAUGUGAUACAUGUGAUGCAUACCGUGUGUAUAUGAGUGCUUACAGAGGCCAGAAGCCUAUAUCAGAUGCCCUGGGACUGAAGUUACACACAGUGACCUUCUCCUACCCAUGUGGGUGGUGGAUAUUGGAAACUAAACUAGGAACCUCUCUGCAGGAGCAGCAAGUGAAUAAGCUAAUACAUUGUUAAAAGUAACCAAGAACAGUUUUAAAAGAAUUAAGCAAAAUUGCACGUAAGAAAACACAUAUUCUGAGUCAAAAAAGGUCUUAUUACAGUAUAAUUUAAGAUUUAUGUAAUUCUCCUUGAAUAUAUACCUAAAGGUAAUUAAAACAAGACAAGGCAGUGUUCACUGUGUAGCCCUGGUGUUCUGGAGCAUGCUGUGUAGACCAGGCUGGACUUGAACUCAAGAUGCCCACCUCCCUUUGCCUCCCGAGUGCUAGGGUUGGAAGUGUGCACCACCACACCUGACUCCCUCAAAGUAAACUCUG
rnacentral:lncRNA from 1 species